GAGUUGCUUUAUAAUUAAUUAUUUUUGUCUUUCUAUAAUUUUAUAGUUGAUUGAUUUUUAAAAAGACAAGAGGGUUGCCUAAGUUGGGUGGACUAUAGUACAAGUAUGGUUCUUGCACUUUUAAAACUGUAGAAGCUGGACACGAUGGUAUGCACCUGUAGUCCCAGCUACUUUGACUGUGGAGGCAGGAGGAUCACUUGACAGUUUGAGACCAGCCUGGGCAAUGUAGUGAGCCCCCCAAAACCCUCUAAACAAACAAACAAAUCUGCAGAAUAUUUCAGCAUCACUCUACACUUUCCUAGAAUAUCAACAUACCUGAUAAUGAAGUAGAAAGAGUUCCAAAUUGAUGAUUGAGUGUUGGGUUCUAGUUCUAUUUCUGCCACUAAUUAGUUCUCUGAACUUAAGUGUUUCAUGUCAUAUUGAAACUUUCUCAUUUGUAAAAUGUGGAGGGGAUCUCUUAAGUGCUUUCUAGUUUCAAAGUACUUUGAUACUGUGACUUUAUUUUGUAGAGGUUCUGGUGUCAUUUAUUUUUAAUAGCUACAUGAAUAAUGUAGAGAUACUAUCUUUUGAUUUCAACUUCACAUACAUGGAAAUGAAAGUCUUGUUAUUUAACACAAAAGGAAAUUUAAUUUGCAUUAUUUAAUGCAGUUAAUAUUACCUAAAAUGUUGAACUUAAGCUUUUCUACUUUAAGUGCCUUUAAAAGUUUUGUAUUUGGAAUCUAAAAUAUAAAGGAAAUUCUUAUGUAGCUCUAUACAGUUGCUUCUUUAUUAUAUAGUUUUGAGUGUUUUGUAGCAACUUUUUUUUUUUUAACCUUAGAUUGCACAGAGCAGCAUAUUCAUGGAUUCUUCACUAUUCCGCUAGUGAAUCCUUGAGAAAUGUAUGUUAAAGAUUAGCUCACUGAGCAGAGCUUGCAGUGCUCAAUAUUAAAGAAUAAAAUUACAGACCUUUACCAAGUUGUGUACUCAUUUGCAAAUCAGCUGAGGAGCACUCUCAAGAAAGUAACAGAUGGAUUGUUUUAAAAAAAGAGAGACACUGAAAUUUUUGAUCAUGGGAAUUUUGUCAUGUUCAAUGAAAAGUAAUGUUCUGUCAAAUGAAAAUAAUGAGGUUCAUAAAUGGGAAUAUAUAAGACAAAAAUAUGAAUAGCCAAAAUACGUUUAAAAAAUCUAAACUAUUGAACAUAAAUUAAAUUGGUUAUCCCUGGGAAAAGAUACUGUAUAUUUUAAUGAUCUCUGUGUAUUUGGGAACUAUAGCAGUAAAUGCAAAGAUACAUCUUGCCUGUCUCUCCCGGUUUUAAGUUAAUUGACACAGAUAUUUCAAUAGUAGUAUUACUCGUUAAAAUUCUGCAAUACUUAUUACCUGGUAUCAUUUAAAAAGAUAUUUUCUCUAAGAUAAAAGAUACUAAUGAAGAUAGAAGACACCAAUCUGUUUCCAUCCUCCUUUUCUCUCUUGCAUUUUCCCUUCUGUGUAUUAGAAACAAUAACAAAGGCCUGCUUUUAUAGUCUUGACAAAUCGUUUCUUACCUGAAAGGAACUUGGGUUUUCUCUUUUUAAGCUAGCUCUUAGUCUGUAGCUUCUGAUAGCAAGUAAUCUCUUCAUUCUCUAGUAUCCUUUGCCAUGACUUAAAAAUGGAGACUAUAGCUUAAUUGAUUGAAUACUCUGACCUAGCAGUCCCAUGUUUGAGUGCAGGGAUGGUGUUGGGCAUUUUAUCCCCUGGUAGUGAUAUUCUAGAAUGCUUUAUGUUCCUACCCCCUAAAAAAUCCUCCAAAUCCUUCAUAUUCUCAAGUAGCACUUAUAACUUUAGCAUUAUUGCCUAACACAACAGUUCUACCAUUAAUCAUACUACAUGUUCAUCCUUCUAAAUGUCAUUAUCAAUUUAGGUAGCCUGUAAGAGUAUUGAAUUUAAGGAAAAGGGUGAAGGGAAGAUAAAACCAUUUAUAUAAAAGUGCUGGGUUUCAUUGCUUGUGGUAAAUAAUGUUUUAAUUUUUUGCCAAGUGAAAACAAAUCUUUAAAAGGAAAGGAAAACAAUUAUUUUAUGGAAAUAUUUUGUAAACAUGUAUGUAAAGACAUUGUUUUCUUUGCCACCAACAAAUUGUUAAUAAAAAAGUUUUUUUUUAGUUU
rnacentral:lncRNA from 1 species